rnacentral:lncRNA from 1 species
GCAAAAAUUCCCCUGACAGGGAGUACUUUUAAAUUUCAAAUCCUUUAGGGGAUAAUUGGCCAGACUGCUCGGCAGGAGCCACAGCAAAAUCCAAGCAGGCAGCUGUGGGACUGCUAUAGCCGGCCCUUUGCUCGGGCCUUUCUGAGCAGGAAGCGAGUCGCUCGCUGCCCCCGGGUGCGGGCGCGCAGGACCAGCAGCUGCCCCCAGCCACGGGCGCGCCACCUGUUUCCGCCUGGGACUUCCCCCAGCCGGCUCCGAAGUGUGGAGUCAGCAGCUUGGCCUGGCCCGGCAUCAGGGGCCCAGCGCAGCCCUACCCCACCGCCGCCUCCCGUGAGGCCCCGCCUGGAAGAGGCGUGGACUGCACCCUGGUGCGCGCGUUCUGGGCUUGGCCUUGAAAAUCAGGAUGGCGAUGACCGCUGAGCAGUGUGAAGAGUGUUCAUCCACCAGACCCUUCCACCAGGCCACCCUGCCUUGGAGCCCACCAAACAUGGACUGAAACCUCCUAAACUAACCAUCUGAGAUGCUUCUGACAUUGUCACGCCACUCCUAAAUACCUGUAUCUCCUAUGAACAAAAUGCAGUCCACUGACACAGUCAUCAAGAAAUGGCAGAGAAAGAAAGAAUCUGGAUUUCCAAGGUCACUUAAUCAAGACUCAAGAGGGGAAUGCAUCCUGGAGACAGCGACUAUUACUAUUAUUAUGUACUUG